rnacentral:lncRNA from 1 species
CCAAAUGUUAUUUUUAUUAGCUAGUUUAUAAGUUGACAACUAACUUUUCAGCUAACAACUAGUUUUUCAGCUAGUCUGUCAAACAUAACUGUCAAACAUGGCUUAAGUGUUUACUCAUCAAAAUGUAAUAUUUAUGUCAAUAAAACAAAAAAAAAAUCAUUAUUAAUAGAACAAAACAUAAACUACGUUGUUACUUCCAUACAUGGAGAAAAAUACAUUACACAAAAUGAACAAAAGUGGGUUGCUAUUUUGCACAGAUAAUAUACUUUCCCAAUAAUACCACCAAAUAAUAAAACAAGCCAUCACAAAAUGCAAGAAAGCACUCUAUACAAAAAUUAGAAAACCAUUAUGGACACAUUUAAAUGACAAAAGGAUGAAGGUAAAAGCUUUAACACUUUGUUGCACUAAUUAAUAAUUAAAAGAGAGUGAAUAAAGAAAAGAGUAUGCUAAAACAUAAACAAAUGAGCUUAAAACAUCAAAACUAAAUUUCCCAAUGGCUUUAACCGGAAUACGGCUAACACAUAAUAGAUCAUUAGGGUUAUUGUGGUUCAAACUUCCGCCAUGCAAAUUUCUACAAAAGUAAUCUCUGCAAAACAAUAUGGUAAUUAAUCAGACUUUGUAAUAGAAUCUCAAGAAAAAAGUGAAAUUUGUCAUGCGUUUGUUUGGCAAGAAAUGGAAUAGAAUCCAAUCCAAUUCCUAUAAUUAUUUAUGGUUUGUAAAUCUAUCAAAGGAUUAAGGGGGAGCUUUUGUUUAUGAAAUUCUAGGAUUAAAAGGGUAUUUGAGUUUAUGAAACCGCUAUAUGCUUUAGAUGAACUCAAAUACCCUUUUAAUCCUAGAAUUUCAUAAACAAAAGCUCCCCCUUAAUCCUUUGAUAGAUUUACAAACCAUAAAGAAUUAGGAAGUUGUGGCAUAUAAACUUCCUCUUCCAAAGUAACAUUGUGAAAUGUGUUCUAAGGCCUAGUUAUGCAUCAUCAUUGUGGACCUUACAAGUUACAACUCACCUGAUGUAAUAGAGUCCUAGUUCUACACAAUACCCAUCUGCUAUUUCAAUUUAAUUCAAUACCGAAAUCAACACACGAUCUGAUACGAGCAGAUACACUAUCUUCAAAGUAGACAAUCACAAAUUUGAACAUAUGCAAUCCACAAUACUCGGUCCAAAAAUAAACAAACAAAUAAACCCUAGAACCUUAUACAGAGGAAAUAGGUGAUGGAGAGAAACUAACCUAGAAAGAUCUCUAUUUGAGAACUUUAGAAGAAGAGUUCUUCUCGUUGUAGAUGAAAUCGGGAGGAGAAUAGAUAAGAGAAGCGAUCAUGGCUCCAGGGAGCACCCCGAAGACAGAAACCGCAGCCAAUUUCUUCACCAAAGGCUCCCCGUCUCUUGUUAUCACCGACAAUAGACCCUUUGUAUAACCCAUUUUCGCCUUUUUCUUUCCCGCAAAAAGAUUCAAAGGGAUCGAUCGAUCGAUUUUGAUCCGUGCUGAGACAAAUCUGAUGUGAUUUCCAGCCCCUUUCUCCGAUUAAAAAACAAGCGACGACAUAUGUGACUAUUUUAUGAAAAAAUGAUAGGAAAGGUCCUUAAAUUUGUAAACAUUUGACGGUUUUACCUAACAUUCAUUUAUGUGUGUAGCUGUCUUAAAGGUGCAAACUUUUCUCCGUAAGGCUAACCGGUAAGGAGCGAUUUUCACGUGUCUUGGGCUUAUGUGGUGCGCCUUCACAUGGGUGAACACCGCCCCCAGGUUCGGUGGGGUGCGCGUGACGUGGCUCCGGAGACGGGAUGAGACGACGAAUAGGAAACCUCCUUUUUGCAACAACUGAAUUUUGGUGGGGAACGGUCUUUUGACCGAUUAAACAAUUAAAAAAAAUUAUUUUUUAAAAUUUAAACAAACUCAACUUCAUCUAUAAAUUACCUACUAUUUUAUUUACAAUUUACACUUCAAAAAACACUCUCUACAUUUUAUUACGAUCUAAAAAAAACACUCAUCUCUCUCAUAUAUAUAUAUAUUUUUCUCUCUACAUGGAUUCAAAUCAAAAUACCUCAAACAAUCCAAAUGCAAAUGUUAGCUACAACCUACAUGAAAUUGUUAACCUCUCCAAUCCAACAACCUUUAUUCACCACUUCAUACCCCUCAAACUUCUACCAACAACAACCACAACAAUUCAAUCAACCCCAAUUCCAAGCAUUUCAACAACAACCUUCUCAACAAUUUCAACAAUUUUCUCAACAAUUUCAACAACCUUCUUUUAUACCUCAACAAUUUCAACCAUCUCAAGUCUCAUUAUCUCAAUCUCAACCUAUAAAUCUUGACAAUGACGACGACGACGAACGGGUCCAAUAAACACAACAACCAACUCGUCGAAGGCAAAAAAAAAAACAAAAGAUCCAAGAAAAAAAAGAACUACUGCAUGGAACGAAUACGAGGAAGAAGCUUUAACGAAAACUUGGAUUUUCAAAUCGCAAGACGGUGAUGUCAGCAACUCGUAAACGGGUCAAAGUUUUUGGUGUCGUAUUUUAGAUCAUUUCCACGCGUUAUUAGGAAAGAAAACGAAACGGGCGUACGACUUGAUCAACGCAAAAUGGCGUGAUUUACGAGCGGCUUGCACCAAAUUCAAUGAGAUAUUUGACAAGCUUAAAAACAUGCAUAGAAGUGGUAGCAACAAUUUCAAUAUUUUAGCAAUCGUGACCUACGAAUGCAAAAUUACUACCAAUGGUAAACCGUUUGGCCACCAAAAAGCGUGGGAAGUUUGUCGUAACGGUCCAAAAUGGGUUUUAUAUUCGGAAAUGGCGCAUUCGGGAUCUACUAGCAGUUCUAACAAAAGGGCAAGAACGACCGAGUCGGACGUGGGUUUUGGACUCGACCUCAACGAUGACUUCGACGCCACCGAAGGGGAGGGCCCAUCAGACGUCCAACUUCGUCAACCAUCGGGAAGGGACAAAGCGAGAAAGGGAACGUCUUCAAGCAUAAAAGCAUUGGCAACUAGUGAAGGCAAGCUUGCGACAUCCAUAGAUAAAGCUCUAGUUUUUCUAGAAAAAAAUACGAAUCAACGGAGGAAGCUCGUCGCCAAAAAAUAGCUCUUAUCGAUCUUCAAAUCAUAAACACAAAGCCCCAACCGGAUAUUGACCGUGAAAAUCUUGUGACGUUUCAUAAAAUUCAACGAUAAGUCCGGGACAAAUAUGUAAUUUAGGUUCUAUUAUUUAUGGUUUUAAGUAAUUUAUCAUUUUUAUUUUUUACGCUUUUUUUAAGAAUUUUAGGAUUUUAAUUUGUGUUUUUUUAUAUUAAUGUAAUGUGUUUUUAAUUUUAAUGUAAUGUGUGUUUUUUAUUUAAAUUUUGGGUUUUAUUUAAAUUAUCGUUUGUAUUUUGUUUUUUUAUUUAAUUUAAUGUUAAAAAAAAGAAUUUGUGGAGUGGUAACCAUUUCCAAUGUUUAAGAGGGUGGUAAUGGGUUGGUGGUGAAGUUGACGUGACACACAUGUGACAUCAUUUUUUCGGUGGGUUGGGUGUGACCACUCCCCAAAGCUUAAAUGACAUGUAAUAACUAACAAAUAAAAGUGUAAAAGUACCCCGUAUGGGUCUAAUAACGUCGGUAUUGCCAAUGUCUACUCACCAAAUGUUGUUGCCGCUACACUCUCAUACAUUUUUUACACAUUUCCUUCUUUCCCCUUAUAUUUUAUAUAUCUAAUUCUACUUCAACAACAAAAAUGGAUCAAAAUCCAAACGCCCCUCCACCAAACCAAAACCCAAACACACAACCACACACAACAUCUCCUAUCGGAUUUACCGGUUACGAGAAUUAUUUUAACCUUCUAUCGUCUUAAGGUUCACAACAAAUCUCAUAUCAAGGAGCCUAUGUCAAUCACGCAUCACCACCACUCCAUUUUCUAACUCACCUUGCCUUCAACAAAAUCUUUUAAAUAUUAUGUUUUAUAAAAAUAUAUUUGUUUUAUUAAUUAAAAAAAGAAACAUAAAAAAGAGAAAAAAACUCAAAAAAGAAAAUCAAAAAAUAUAUGACAUGUAAAAUAUUGGUGUUGUAACAUGAAAACCAUUUUCUUGUUUGGUGUUAUAACACCAUUGCUUAUGUGACAUGUAAGGUGACACCAAAUUUGUUGUUAUACCUAGGGUGUGUUUGAUUCAUUUUUUUAACUUAAAAGUCCUUUUAUAAAAAAGACUUUUUAUAAAAGAACUUUUUCUACAAAGAGGUCUUUAAAAUGUGUUUGCCUUGACUUUUAAAACUUUUAAGAGUUGAAAGCAAAAAAUCAAUUUCUGGUUAAGUCAAAGUCAAACAAAGUCAAUGAGUCAAACCGAUAAGCUCAUCUAGUGCUUGUAUGAUAGGGUUUACUCUAUGUUUACUAAUGUACAACUCUUUACCUUAAUACAAAGUAUCACUCGAAAAUUUCAUAUGUUAAGAAAAUUCUAAACCCUAACUAGGGUGAGCGAUGUAACGAAUCUAUAAAGUACUAUUAUGUACCCAUCGGGGGAUUAAGACACUCAUAACAAAGCAUAAUGGGGUUUGCGAACCUUGCAUUAUGGGGACAAACACUAACAAGGCUACAAACAAAAUCUCUCCCACUCUAUCUCUAUCUCUCCCAAAUCUCUCUCAAAAUCACUCCCAAUCUCUCUCAUACCUAUUAGUGAUAAAAAUCAUGAUUUCCAAUGUUUUUAUGAACAUCCGUACCAUCCCGAGCCUUCCCUUGGUCGAAAACAGCUUAAAACGGAAGAAAGAAGUCAAAAAGAGGGUUGAAGGUUCGCAGGGUACGGUUCACCUGCGAACCUUCGCGUGCCUUCGCGUCCCUCCCCUUGCCAAGUUUGUUUUUGGGUUAGAAGUUCGUUUCUAACUGGGAAAUUUCGCACUUAACCUUCUCACAAGCAAAACCGGACAAUUUCGCUUCUAUCCGGGCAAGUUCGCUUCUACUCGCCCAAGUUCGUUCCUACUCGACAAGAUUCGCGCCUCCUGACAUUCGCAUGCGAACCGAAGACCUUCGCUUCCUGCCCAACCUUCGGAGCCAAGCCUCCCCUCGGACCGAACCCUCCUAUCGCCUGCAAACCUCUCAGACCGAAACCUCCCCUGUCACGAACCUUCUCGGCUGCGAGCCUUCCCUUUGAAGGUACGCAUCCACUUCCCCGUUUUUGACCAGUUUUGCAUUUUAAGCCCGUUUUUUUUAUGAUUUUAACGUGGGAAUUUCACCAAAUUCGUAUUUUCAUCAUUUUAAACCCUCCAAAAUCAUAUUUUAUUCCCAUCUUGAAGAUUUAUUUUCUAUAAAUCAUAUCUUUUGUUCAAGAUCACACACAAAGGUUUGUUGACUUUUCCCUAUAAAGUUAUGACACCAAGCCAUCCCCAUAUCAACUUUAUGUCACUAUUCACAUUCUACCUAGUCAAAUCAAUAUCUUUCUUCAAACACUCCAUCAGAUCUUCCCAUGACCAUAUCCAUCUAAUAGAUCUUUAAUCAUCACCUAUAAAACCUCAUUUACUUCCUCCAAAAACAAACUUUCUUUCUCUCUCUCUCUCUCUCUCUCUCUCUCUCUCUCUGGAACUCGAAACCCCCAGGAGGUCUCUAGCUUUCCUUCAUUCUUAGUAAUUUCUUCAUUUCUAUUCCUAAAUAUUCUUCAUUUCUUCAUACAAAUCAUGGGUCAUUUACACAAAUAUUGACAUAUUUGUUCUUCGGAUCUUCAAAUCCUCAAGCAUCCUUCAAGUGUUCUUGACUUGAAACUCUUCAUCUUCAACCUUCCAUUCAUCAAGAAAUCACAAAAGGUGAUUUCAUACCCUUACAUUUUCAUGUUUUCUUUAAGUUUUUUUUGGUGGUGGUGGGGGGGGGAUACAAUUUACAACACCCAAAACAUAUUCUAAUAUAUACUAACAACUUUCAUUAAAAAAGUUGUGGUCUAUUCAAGAACUGUUUUGACCAUCUUAAACUCAAUAUUUUUCAAAACUAUUCAAUAUGAAUUUAGUUCGGGUUUAUUGUAACACCGUGAAUUUCAAAAUAAUUUUUCGCACAAUAUAAAAACAUUUUCAUUUAAUUUUCAUAAAAACAUCAAUGUUUUAAGACUCCAAUCCAUAUCAUACAAAAUCCCAAGAUCACAUAUCAUAAAAAUCUCAUGCAUGUGUACAGAUCAAGCCGGCGCCUUCCCAUGGUCAUCACUAGUACCUGAAAUAAGCAACACUAACACUGUAAGCACAAAGCUUAGUGAGUUCCCCAAAAUACCACACAUAACACAUAUUAGCCACUCGAGGCUAUAACUCUAUGGGUCCGUAGACCCUGCUCUGUGAACCCACUGGUUCUAACUUUGGGAACCUUCCGGUUCCAACUCUAUAAACAUGCACAGCAUAAAUCACAUAGAAAUAUUGCAGUACAACACAUAACAGACAUAUAGCAUACAAAUACUCUAUCACAUAACUAUGAUUACCUACUCAAGGUAAAGUAUAGUGAGAAGACUCACCUCGUAUAUCUCGAUAACUCGCGAAUCCUGGAAAUCGCUCGUGCUCGAUCCUCGGAGCUAUAAUCCUCCUAUAACAUCAUAUAUCUCUAAUUAACACUUUUACCACUAAGGUUGACUACCCCUAUCAAGUCAACACUGGUCAACUCUGGUCAACAGUCAACGGUCAACUUUGACCGGACUCGGCGAGUGCACUAGGGCGACUCGGCGAGUCUAUACGUGUUCACUGACUCCCUAGGAUCCUCUCCUGACACGUCGAGUACACCCCCAACUCGACGAGUCCCACCUGGCAUGAAUCGCGGGGCCACCACGACUCAACUCGCCGAGUCUCAAGAACAACUCGGCGAGUUCCAGCUCGACUCAGUCCACCUGUCAACCCUCUCUAACUCUCCCUGACUCACUGAGUCAACCCUUAACUCGGCAAGACCACUCGCUGAGUGGUUAAGGACAAUCUUCAUGCUACUCGCCGAGUCUGUUCUUCGGACUCGGCGAGUCCAUGCCAUGCAUCAACUCAAUCUCGCUUCUGAGGUCAGAUCCGCUCCAACAACUCAUAGAUCUGGCCCUCCCAAGCACAUUCAUCACGUAAAGUCACAGUCUUGGCUACCAUGCAACGCCUACAAGGCUUCUUUUGAAGAAAUGACCUCUAAAAUGGCAACCUAAGUCUCCAACUCAAAAGGAAAGACAUAAAGCAUGGCAUUUGGGACUCUCUGGACCUACUAAGGUCCAGAUCUAGGUACCAUAUCCCCAUGGGACCUCUCACACUCCAAAUACAAGGCAAACAAGGCAUGAAGAAACCCUAGAUUUGACCAUAUCAACAAAAACACGAGAAUAAGCUCUGAAUGAUACCUCAAGAAGCUUCCUCUGACGAAAUGGAAGUAGAUCCAAGCUCCCCAACUCUCCUAGCUUGAUUUUCCCCUUCCUUUCUUGCAAAUACACACAAAAUUGGUGAAUAAUGGCCUCUUAUCUCACUCACAAGAACUCUCAGCUGUUUAGGUGCUCUCAAGGUCAAGGUAGCCGCAAUGAAGGGCCAUAAGGUCCUUUAAAUAGGGCUUAGGACCGGGAAAUUAGGGUUUCAUUAAACAGCGCGGACUCGCCGAGUCCAUUCCUUGGACUCGCCGAGUCCAGGCGCGAACCCGCGUCCAGAACCGCGAUCCUACUCGGCGAGUUUGAGCUCCAACUCGCCGAGUCCCCUCACAAAACACCAAAAAUAUAUGAAUAAAAGAUACCUGGAAAUCCAGGCUGUUAUAAUUCUCCCCCACUAGAACUAGACUUCGCCCUCGAAGUCUCGCUCUGCAAAUAGCUCCGGAUGCUGCUCACGUAUCUCACGCUCCGGCUCCCAAGUCAUCUCUGACCCUUCCGAUGCUGCCAUUGAACCAAAACCAAGGGUACCUCCUUGUUCCUCAGAACCUUGAUAUUCCGAUGUUUGAUGGCCACUGGUCUCUCAGCAUAAUUCAGGCUCGCAUCUACCUGAAUAUCCUCUAAUGGAACCACUGCCGACUCAUCGGCUAUACACUUCCUCAGCUGCGACACAUGGAAAGUGUCGUGAAUCUGCCCCAACUCUGCUGGCAAAUCCAAACGAUAGGCUACCCGGCCUACCCUCGCGAUCACACGGAAAGGACCAAUAUAUCGGGGCCCCAAAUUGCCCCUCUUCCUGAAUCGAAUCACUCCUUUCCAAGGAGAGACCUUCAGGAGUACAAGGUCGCCGACCUGGAACUUAAGCUCGGACCGGCGCCUGUCUGCGUAACUCUUCUGUCGGCUCUGAGCGGUCAACAACCUCUGUCUGACCUGCUGGAUCUGCUCUGACGUCUGAAGCACGGUCCCUGUACUGCCCAUUACCCGCUGUCCAACCUCUCCCCAACAAAUGGGGUUCUGACACCUUCUCCCAUACAACAACUCAAAGGGUGGCAUACCAAUGCUCGAAUGAUGGCUGUUGUUGUAGGAAAACUCUACCAAGGGCAAAUAUGCAUCCCAGCUACCCCCGAAAUCCAACACACAUGCCCGGAGCAUGUCCUCGAGCGUCUGAAUCGUCCGUUCACUCUGACCGUCUGUCUGGUGAUGAUAUGCGGUACUAAAAUGCAGUCUAGUACCCAACUCCUCAUGAAACUUCUUCCAGAAUCUGGAAGUGAAACGCACAUCUCGGUCUGAAACAAUCGAGAUCAGCACCCCAUGCCGAGAUACCACUUCCCUCACAUACACCUCCGCCAAUUUCUCUGCUGAAGAACUCUCGCUGAUAGCAAGGAAGUGAGCGCUCUUCGUCAAUCUGUCCACAAUCACCCAAAUUGUAUCCAAUCCUCUGGCAGUGCUUGGCAAUUUGGUGAUGAAAUCCAUAGUGAUUUGUUCCCACUUCCAUUCGGGAACCUCCAAUGGCUGCAACUUACCAUGCGGCCUCUGGUGCUCGGCCUUAACCCUACGGCAGGUCAAGCACCUCUCAACAAACCACGCGACAUCCCUCUUCAUACAGGGCCACCAAUACUCCUUUCUCAGAUCCAAAUACAUCUUAGUGGCCCCCGGAUGGAUCGAAAAUUUCGACCGAUGCGCCUCCUCCAUCAAAAUGGUACGCGUUCCUCCCACAAACGGUACCCAGAUACGCCCCUGAAAUGUCAUAAGCCCCCGACCAUCGGUAACGAACUCUGAAACCAAACCAACAACCCGUUCCCUCUUCUGCAUCUCAGGUUGCACAGCCUCGGCCUGUGCCCCACGAAUGGCGUCCAACACUGGAGCUAUCACGGUCAAUCUCAAACAUACAUCCCGCAGCGGGGUGCUCUCCGCCCUGCGGCUCAAUGCAUCGGCUACAACAUUAGCCUUGCCUGGGUGGUACAGGAUCUCACAAUCAUAAUCCUUGACCACAUCCAACCACCUUCUCUGACGCAUAUUUAGGUUGGGCUGAUCCAUCAAAUACUUCAAACUCUUAUGGUCCGUGUAUAUCGUACACCGAACCCCAUACAAGUAGUGACGCCAAAUCUUGAGGGCGAACACCACUGCCCCCAACUCUAGAUCAUGGGUGGGAUAUCUCGUCUCAUGAGGCUUCAGCUGCCUCGAUGCAUAUGCUAUCACAUGCCCUCUCUGCAUCAGCACCGCUCCCAACCCCAAAAUCGAUGCAUCACAGUAUACCACAAAGUCCUCCAUCCCUUCCGGGAGGGCUAACACCGGGGCUUCGCACAACCUUUGGCGAAGUGUCUCAAAGGAGGCCUGCUGCUCGGGGCCCCAUGAAAAAGCAACACCCUUCCGGGUCAAUCUGGUGAGUGGCACUGCGAUCUUAGAGAAAUCCUUGAUAAACCUCCGAUAAUACCCUGCCAACCCUAGGAAACUCCUGAUCUCGGAGGGUGACUUCGGCACCUCCCAACUCAUCACUGCCUCAACCUUGGCCGGAUCGACCAAUAUCCCUUCCUGGUUAACGAGAUGUCCUAAGAACUGGACCUCCCGCAACCAGAAAUCACACUUGGAGAAUUUGGCAUAAAGCCUCUCCGAUCUCAGAACUCCGAGAACCUCUCUCAAAUGCUCCUCAUGCUGCUCUCUAGAUCUCGAAUAUACCAGAAUGUCGUCGAUAAAUACAAUCACCGACCGAUCCAGCAUCGGCCUACACACUCGGUUCAUGAGAUCCAUGAACACUGCCGGGGCAUUGGUGAGCCCGAAAGGCAUCACCACAAACUCAUAAUGCCCAUAACGCGUCCUGAACGCUGUCUUCUGGACGUCCUCAUCCCGCACUCUCACCUGAUGAUAUCCAGACCUCAAAUCGAUCUUGGAGAACCAAGAUGCUCCCUGCAACUGAUCGAACAAAUCGUCGAUCCUCGGCAACGGGUAACGGUUCUUGACCGUCAGCUUGUUCAACUCCCGGUAAUCAAUGCACAUCCGGUGUGAACCAUCCUUCUUCUUGACGAACAGGAUAGGCGCUCCCCACGGCGAGCUGCUCGGCCGAAUAAACCCCUUCCCCAGCAGCUCCUGAAGCUGCGAGGAUAACUCUUGCAUCUCUGGAGGUGCAAGGCGAUAAGGCACCUUAGCGAUAGGCGCGGCCCCCGGAACCAAAUCGAUACUGAACUCCACUUGCCUCACAGGAGGCACACCCGGCAACUCCUCGGGAAAUACAUCCGGGAACUCACGCACCACCGGAACCUCCUCAACUGAACUCGGCCUCUCGGAAACCACCCGCGUAUCCAUCACAUACGCCACAAAACCCUUACAGCCCUGCUGUAGACACUGCCUCGCCCUAGCGGCCGAACAAAACGCUGAUCCUGAACGUGUACCCUCGCCGUACACCGAAAGAACUCCCCCACUAGGGUCUCGUAUGGUCACCAGCUGACGCUCGCAGUCGAUAACCGCACCGAAUCUGCUCAACCAGUCCAUGCCCACAAUGACACAGACAUCACCCAUCGCAAUAGGAACCAGAUCAAUCGGGAACUCAACACCGAAAAUCUCGACUACGCACCCUCGGAGAACCUCCGUGGCAUAUAUCAUCCUCUCAUCAGCUAUGGACACUCUCAGAGGCCGACUCAAUGCCUCACAACUAACAUUGAUAUGCUGACUAAAGGCCAAAGAUACAAAAGACCGACUCGCACCCGAGUCAAAUAACACUAAGGCAGGUACAGAAUUCACAAGAAAAGUACCUACACACAACAUAAUAUAAGCAUAAUAUCUCAACAUCAAAAUAAAUACACGAAAGAAUACAUACCAGCCACGACAUCGGGCGCUGCGCGGACCUCCUCCGCGGUCAGCUGAAAAGCUCUCCCUCGUGCCCUCGGCGCCUCGGCCUUCACUGGCNUCACAUAACUCUGAUUACCUACUCAAGGUAAAGUAUAGUGAGAAGACUCACCUCGUAUAUCUCGAUAACUCGCGAAUCCUGGAAAUCACUCGUGCUCGAUCCUCCGAGCUAUAAUCCUCCUAUAACAUCAUAUAUCUCUAAUUAACACUUUUACCACUAAGGUUGACUACCCCUAUCAAGUCAACACUGGUCAACUCUGGUCAACAGUCAACGGUCAACUUUGACCGGACUCGGCGAGUGCACUAGGGCGACUCGGCGAGUCUAUACGUGUUCACUGACUCCCUAGGAUCCUCUCCUGACACGUCGAGUACACCCCCAACUCGACGAGUCCCACCUGGCAUGAAUCGCGGGGCCACCACGACUCAACUCGCCGAGUCUCAAGAACAACUCGGCGAGUUCCAGCUCGACUCAGUCCACCUGUCAACCCUCUCUAACUCUCCCUGACUCACUGAGUCAACCCUUAACUCGGCAAGACCACUCGCUGAGUGGUUAAGGACAAUCUUCAUGCUACUCGCCGAGUCUGUUCUUCGGACUCGGCGAGUCCAUGCCAUGCAUCAACUCAAUCUUGCUUCUGAGGUCAGAUCCGCUCCAACAACUCAUAGAUCUGGCCCUCCCAAGCACAUUCAUCACGUAAAGUCAUAGUCUUGGCUACCAUGCAACGCCUACAAGGCUUCUUUUGAAGAAAUGACCUCUAAAAUGGCAACCUAAGUCUCCAACUCAAAAGGAAAGACAUAAAGCAUGGCAUUUGGGACUCUCUGGACCUACUAAGGUCCAGAUCUAGGUACCAUAUCCCCAUGGGACCUCUCACACUCCAAAUACAAGGCAAACAAGGCAUGAAGAAACCCUAGAUUUGACCAUAUCAACAAAAACACGAGAAUAAGCUCUGAAUGAUACCUCAAGUAGCUUCCUCUGUCGAAAUGGAAGUAGAUCCAAGCUCCCCAACUCUCCUAGCUUGACUUUCCCCUUCCUUUCUUGCAAACACACACAAAAUUGGUGAAUAAUGGCCUCUUAUCUCACUCACAAGAACUCUCAGCUGUUUUGGUGCUCUCAAGGUCAAGGUAGCCGCAAUGAAGGGCCAUAAGGUCCUUUAAAUAGGGCUUAGGACCAGGAAAUUAGGGUUUCAUUAAACAGCGCGGACUCGCCGAGUCCAUUCCUUGGACUCGCCGAGUCUAGGCGCGAACCCGCGUCCAGAACCGCGAUCCUACUCGGCGAGUUUGAGCUCCAACUCGCCGAGUCCCCUCACAAAACACCAAAAAUAUAUGAAUAAAAGAUACCUGGAAAUCCGGGCUGUUACAUUUAUAACUUUCUAAUGACUACUUGCACACAUUUAUACGAUUUAUGGCGAUUUUUACAAAAUUGCCUUUCAUUUCAGGAAACGAUUUUGGACCAGUCUGUGAAUAUGGACAUUUUCACACUGGUUAGAGACCUUUAAAAAUCAUAAUAAAAAUUAUGAACAAACUAGACAUAUUUUCUAAACUCUCAAAGUUUACGGAUCUAGUUUUCGACUUACAAUAUUUUUUCUAUGAUUUUUCUAAAAACAGUGACAAAAAAGUCAAAAGUAGUAAAAAUAGUUUAUAAAUUCAUUAACACUCUGUAACAUGUUGAGCAAAGUGUAUAACCAUGUUUAGCUACAUCUUAAUCAUAUUUCAUGUUAGUUUAUCUUCAUGAAAUAGAAUUAGACAUUUAUCAUAAGGAUUUUUCAUUCAUUACAAACAUAUAUGAUAAGCUAUAAUAGGUAUACUUUAUGGUUUGUUACACUACAAAUACACUAUGAAAGGUUUCCAGUACACUACAAAAGGGGUUUUCAUUUACUACAAACAUAUGGGAUAAACUAUAAUAGGUAUAGUUUAUGGUACAUUAACACUACAAACAUACUAAGGAAGGUUUCAUUUACACUACAAAAAGGAUUUUCAAUCACACUACAGGUAAACUCGAUGAAUCAAAUUUGUGAGACGUCACUUCAUUGUACUCUUUAGGGUACUGUUUAUAGUCCUGUAUUAUAACCAUAGUCUCCUGUAGGGAGAGCAUGAUACUUGUAUAUAGAUCUAUAUUGGGACUGACAAUCCCGCACCUAAGCUGCAUGCAACAGCUAGACCGGCAGGUCUAGGGUGACAAAUGUCAAAACAUUCUGACGCCCGAAGUACGUCGUAACAAGCUUACUAUGUCAAUUGAACAGUUAUAAUAACUCACAUAGGGAAACAACGACACAUAAAGUUUACGGUAAUUCUUACAUUCGAAAGGGUUUUAAUUAUUUAAAACUGCCUACACUAUUAUAAGUAUGGAAAAAUACUUGUACGUUUCGGUCUUUGGGUUUUAAGACUACAAUUCAUUUAUAAGGAAAAUAUUGGAUUUCCUUGAACAUACACUACCUUUACAAAGAAAGAUUUUUCAAUUCUACAUACAAAAGCUUAUGCACUCACUAACUUAAUUUUUGACAUUCUAUCAAAAUUACUUGUAUUCUUAGGUAAUCAAUGAAAACAGAUAACUAACAGCUUUUAAGGAUGGAACGCUACGACGUUAGACAAACCAUUUUAUCAUUAUAUUGUAAUCUAUUUUUAAACAUGUAACUUAUGAAACCAUGUAACUUUUUUGAUUAUAUUUAUGAUGGUUGUAUUUACUAUGAUCACUAUUAUACUCAUUGUUAUGAUACUAUACAUGAAGUCCUCCACCCCCGAACGCUUCCUCCAUCCUUGGUUUGGGGGUGUGACAGAUUAGUAUCAGAGCAUUGUUUAUAGUGAACUAAGUAUAUCGAACCACAUAAGAUAUACCAACUAUAAACAUAUUGGGACUAAAACUCUCUGAUUAAACAUUUUUCAUACAACUAUACUUUUAGAAAUAAAAUGUUUUUUUAAAAGUAUAAGUACAUGCAUACAUGCUAGUAUAGUGUCGUAACUAGGAAUAAUACAAAGUAAAAGAGAACGAGUUGUACGCUGCGAGUAUGCCUUGGGAUAUUUAGUCAAGUCUGGGAUGAAUAUAGCUUGAUCAACUAUAUUUGUUCGAAAAAUGACUGGCAUAUGCUGGGGGAUAGUCGUAGUGGACAACAAAUCUAACAACCUACCAUCACCCUAUAAGAAACGCACUAAGAACCGAACAAAACAUUUAAAAUACUAUAGAAGUAUUUUAUGUUGCUUUAGCGCAAUAUUUUUAGACUCAUUAUCUGCCUCUUACACCCCCUAUUCUCGCACAGAUGUCAUAGUAGGAUUCCACUUACCGGGAGACCCCUACUUCCCGAACCAGGGAAACAUGGGAUGGAUAGAGGAGGAACCAGAAGAAGAUCCCAAUGAGGACUUCGAAGAAGUCGAAGAGGAAGAACCCGAAGAAGAUGAACUUGAAGAGGAACUGGAGGAAGAAGAAGACAAAGAGGAGUCGGAAGAGGAGCCGUAGGUCAUCAACCCUCCUUAUGUAUCCAGGUUUCCCGCGAACCGUUUUGGCUACAACAGACCUAUGCCCUGUUGGGCAUCAGAAAUCGAUAGGUGGAGUGGUCAUCAGCGACAACGAUCACCAUUUGGCGGUCAACGAGGUUAUUAUGACCUCAACCAUGGAGGACCGGCUGACAAAGCCCUCCCAGUUGUGAUCCAGCAAAUCAAAAACCUUAGGGAUCAAAAUAGGGAAACGGCGAAUCGAGUUCGAGAGCUCACCGCUGUUGCGGAAGCCACCGACGCACGUACUCGAGACUUGGAAAGAGACUACUAUCCCAUGGACCAACUCAUUGAGGACUUUACAGCCGCUUGGGCGGAGGUAAGGGAGUAUCAGGAAAGGCACACGAAUCUCGAGGAGACAGUGAUCGCAGCCGAGCGCCGGUUAGCAGAACUACAUGGCGCCUCGACUUCGUCUCAAGGACGGCAGGGGACUGGUCGUUGUGAGUAGGGUUCACACUACUUACAAAUCUUUAUAGAUUAGGUUUAUGAGUUUGUGUUAGUGCUACUCUUCUCUAUGUGUAGGUUCAAUCCUGCGAUUAAGUUAUUACACUAGUCAAAGGAUUGUUUUGUUGUCAAAAUUUUUCCUUAUAUUGAUGUGAUGUAGACCUACUUCAAGGUCAAAUUUUCCAAACUCUAUGUACUAAAUCAUAUUAGUGAAAUUGGCAUGCAUAUUAUAUUUCAUUGGGAGUACUACCACAAAAAUUCAUAACAAUGUAUAUCGUUACUUAUGGUGAAUCGACGUUUACUUAGUGUAUGCAGUGACGUUGUAUGUAAUUAAGAUUCCAUCGAUUUAGAAAUGGUGGUUCCACUUUAAGUCAUGUUCCUUGUUUGGUUGUGGGCUUAGGGUAGACCUAUUAGAUUCAACGAUCUAUUCAAACUUAGUUAUACGCAACUAGCAUACGCCAAGCGAUUGUAGAAAGACCUGGUAUGGAUCAAGUCUCGAGAUUUCAUUAAGACAUUACUAUUGAAUUAAUAAGUUCAAUCAUAUGGACUUCCAUCAUGAAUUGCUUGCAAACGCUUUAAAGUCGAGACAUAAUACAAAUAAUAUAGCUCAAUAACAACCGACAUAUCACCACUAUUAAAGGCUUAUCAUAUUUUCGUCUUUAAAACUUGUGGCAGAAAUAUGCCACCACGGAAAAAUCCCAGACCUUCCAACAACGCACCACCACCACCUCCGCCACCAUCUCCGCCACCACCGCAGUUUGACCCUGCUAUGUUCCAAGCUGUCGUAACAGCAACCGUGGCAGCUGCAAUGUCACAAAUCAGUACAAAAUGGUGCUGGUGGUUCGUGAAAUGGUACUACAAAAUCUAACUAGGGAGACAGUCAUGGAAGCUCAAAGGAAUGUUCCUACAAAGAUUUCACAAAUGGAAAACCCAAAUCCUUCAACGGAAGCGGGGGCGUCAUCACUCUGAUGUAAUGGUUCGAGAAGACGGAAUCAGUCUUCGAGAUUUGUGCAUGUCUUGAAGCUAGCAAAGUCAAAUUUGCAGCUUGCACUUUCACUGACCGAGCCCUUACCUGGUGGAACGGUCAUGUAAAGUCAUUGACUCUCCCAAUAGCGAAUGCAAUGAGCUGGGAGGAUUUGAAGACCCUAAUGCUCACUGAAUAUUGCCCAAGGGGUGAGGUUCAGAAAUUGGAACAAGAACUUUGGGGCCUCAAGAUAACCGGCUCUGACGUCAUGUCUUAUACAGCCAAGUUCAGCGAUCUGGCCAUACUAUGUCCCGGGUUGGUCACCCCGGAGAGUAAAAAGGUGGAUAGAUACAGUUGGGGACUAACCCCCCGGAUUCAAGGGAACAUGUUGGCCUCAAAACCGACUACAUUUGACAGUGCCAAGCAGUUGGCACAACAACUCAUCGACCAUAGGGCCAACCAUGGCACUGUGGCGGCCACCCCCGAGCAAGCAAAAGGGGGAAACAACAAAAGAAAGUUCUGGAGCCACAAGAAGAGCCAGCCGACCCAGGAUUCUACCAAGAAAAAACAAAUAGUGACGGUUCUCGCUGUCACUACCCCCUCCGCUCCAGCACCCCUGAGGCAGUGUGUUGGAACCCUCCCCAAAUGUAACAAGUGCAGCUUCCAUCACACCGGCCCUUGUUGAGAGAUGAACUGCAGAAACUGCAACUAGAAAGGGCAUACCGCCCGAUUCUACAAGGCGCCAGCCCAACAAGCCACCCCGACCGCCAACACUGGGGCAAGCCGAGCCUGCUACAACUGUGGGGAGAUCGGGCACUAGAAAAGAGAUUGCCCAAAGGCCAGAAACGCAAAUGCCGGCAGUGUCGGAAGGGUCUUGGCCUUAGGGCAUGGGGAAGCCAUGGAAGAUCCCACGGUGGUUACCGGUACGUUUCUCCUCAAUAACUCAUAUGCAUGCAUAUUAUUCGAUAGUGGAGCGGAGAGGAGUUUUAUUAGCCAUCAAUUCAAACAAUUACUAAAACAAAAUCCCUAAUCACUAAAAGAUACAUACAUCGUAGAAAUGAAAAAUGGAAAGGCAGAGAGCACUAACAAAAUAUACACAGGGUGUACCCUCACUCUAGACAACCACUCAUUCAAAAUCGAUCUAAUGUAUGUUUCAAUAAAAAGCUUCGACGCCAUCAUUGGCAUGGACUGGUUAAGUUCUAAUCGUGCCAACAUUCUGUGUGAUGAAAGGGCCAUUCUCCUUAAUCUGCCAAGUGGCAAGACUCUCGUCAUUUAAGGCAACAAACCUAGCACAAACCUACAAAUCAUCUCUUGCAUCAAAGCCCCAAAGUAUCUCCAUAAGGAAUACCACACCUUCUUAGCCCACGUAGUGGAUAAGAAGCUGGAGGUGAAAGACAUCAAGGACAUUAUGGAGGUCUGUAAUUUCCCGGAUGUAUUUCCAGAAUACCUUCCCGGAGUUCCACCCGCACAACAGGUCGAAUUUUGAAUCGACCUAAUUCCCGGAGCUACCCCUGUAGCCAAAGCGCCAUACCGCCUAGUGUCAGGCGAGAUGCAAAAAUUAUCCAGCCAAUUGAACAAACUACUAAGAAAAUGGUUCAUUAGGCCGAGCUUCUCGCCUUGGGGAGCGCCAGUCCUGUUCGUGAAAAAGAAGGAUGGAUCGUUCUGCAUGUGCAUCGACUACCGCAAGAUGAAUAAGCUUACCAUAAAAAACCGAUAUCCUCUACCCCGAAUCGACGACCUUUUCGACCAACUCCAAGGAGCAACUUGCUUCUCAAAAAUCGAUCUGAGGUCGGGAUACCAUCAACUACGGUUCCAGGAGGAGGAUGUUCCUAAAACGAUGUUCAGGACCUGGUACGGUCACUACGCGUUUGUAGUGAUGCCCUUCGGAUUAACAAACGCACCCGCGGUGUUCAUGGACCUAAUGAACUGGGUGUGCCAGCCUUACUUAGAUAAGUUUGUGAUUAUCUUCAUAGAUGACAUACUGGUUUAUUCAAGGAGUAAGGAAGAGCACAGCCAACACUUACGACAAGUAUUAGAGACAUUAAGGGCGGAGAAAUUAUAUACAAAAUUCUCAAAGUGCGAAUUUUGGAUCCGAGAAGUGGGCUUCCUUGGACAUGUGUUUAGCAAGGAAGGGAUACACGUGGAUCCUUCCAAAAUCAAGGAGAUCGAGAACUGGUCAGCACCAAGGAAUCCUACAUAAAUCUGUCGAUUCUUAGGCCUCGCUGGCUAUUACCGAAGGUUCAUCCACAACUUCUCCAAGAUCGUCAAACCACUUACCAUCCCGAAUCAAAAGGGUGUAACCUUCAACUAGGAAGAGAAGCAAGAAACCACAUUCCAAAAGUUAAAGCAAGCCCUGUGCAGUGUUGUCACACCCCCGAACCGUCAGAAAAACAACGGAGGAAACAUCAGGGGGCGGCGACGUCAUACGUAGUAUCACAACAAUCAUAUCAUAGCAAUCAAAGUAAACACAACCAUUACAUUACAAUGUGAAUAUUUACAUCUGUUUGAAAACAUAGUUUGUACAUAACAUUUUAUAAUAAAAGAUAAAGACGAGACUCCAAAAAAAUGCUCCGUCUUCUCCAAAAGCUGGGAAGGUACCUGUCUAUCGUUGUCCUGAGAAUACAAGUGAUUUCGAAAACAUAUCAGCAUAAAGCUGGUGAGUUCAUAAGCAUGUUUUCGUAUUGAAAACUAGCCACUGAAUUUGUAUAAAUGUUUUCUUUACAUUAUAAGUAAAUAUCGUUUGUAUCGAAAACCGUUGCUACCAAGUUCUGAAAUAUGUAUGUGUGCUUACCAAGAGCAUCCAAUAUUUUCUAACAUGUUUGUUGGUUUCUUUAUGAAAAGUACUUUUUGUUUGAAAACCUUGGCUACCACCAGUAUGUAAUGUAUGAUCGUUCGGAAACCCUGGUUACCACCAGUAUGUAUAGUAGUGUUAUUGCUUAAAAUAAAACUAUAAAAGAAGGAAAUCCCUUAAACAAUGAUUAGUUUAUACUUAUUGUGAGUCGUAUAACCAUACUAAUAUGACUAAUGACCUGCUUGACGUUUCUUCACGCAUCGCACGAUUUCAAAAUUUGUCACCCCAGGCGUGCCCGCCUAACUGUAGCUAACAGUUCAGGUGUGGGAUUGUCGGUCCCGAAUAGAUCUAUUCACAAAUUUCACGCUCUCCCUCCAGGUGACUCUGGUUAUACUACCGGAAAGGAUUUAUUGGUACCCCGAGGGGCAAAACGAAGAUAGUUUGACAAUCCUAUAUUAACUAGUUUACGUGUUUGUUCGGUUUUUCUUGAGUUCGAAAUUGUUUGUAACGGUGUAGAGUGUAAAUAAUUAUACAUAAAAUAAUUAUUUAGCAUGACACUCUAGCUUUGUAUUUGUAGUAAUGGAUAACUAAAUCUGACAUAGUUUAUAUGUUUGACUUGCAUGAAGUUUGAAUCUGUAAGACUGGUAAUAAACCCCCAAACUAUACCUAUUAUAGUUUGAAUGGUUGUUACGUUCGUGUAUGGUUUUGGAAACUAUGCAAUUAUGAUUAGAAAGCAUCCCUUAUACUCCGCAUAUUACAAAAGGGAUAAUUGUAUCUAAAUGUUUGAUAGAAAACAAUUGUGAUUGCAUCAGUUUUUAAGUUAUGAGAACUUCUUUGUUUAGCUUGUACCCCCCCCCCCCUGAAAACAUGAAAAACUCGGAAAAGUGUAGGGGUAUUGUGACAUCCCCAAUUUCAUGGCCAGGACCGAUUUGCUUAUGCUUUGUUUUAUAAAUCAGAGUAAUCGUUUAAAGAAAACGGUUGCGGAAUUUGUUCCCAAAACAAAAUAUGAUAAAACUUAUCAAAACGUUUCUCAAAGAGAAUGUAUUUUCACUACAUAAUAAAACCUCGGGAUGUCAUGUUCCGAUACAGACCAAAAGCAUAAACAAUAUAAAAUAGACCUUACAACAGUUAUUUAUAACUACUGAUCUAUAAUCCAAAAUCUUUCGUCAAGUCCACCAAUUUAUACUCUUUUGCCAUUACCUGUAAUGCAAAGAAAACUGAGUGGGUCAGGCUUGGGAGCCUGGUGAGCAUAUAGGGUUUUCAACCCACCAUAAUACAUUUAUUAUAUUCAAUUAUCAAACAAUCAACCUAAUUACCCAUCCCCCAUUAUCUCCAUUUAUCUUAAGGAUCUACCCUAAGAAUCAUCUAUCCUUUAUUCUUAAGGAUUGACCUGAGGUAUAGGCACGAAGUCACAUCGUUGCCAGAGUUUACUUAAUAGGCGCUAACUCCAUAGUCACCAAGGUUUAUACAAUAUGUGCUAACUCCAUAGUCACCAAGGUUUAUACAAUAGGCGCUAACUCCAUAGUCGCCAAGGUUUAUACAAUAGGCGCUAACUCCAUAGUCACCAAGGUUUAUACAAUAGACGCUAACUCCAUAGUCACCAACUAUCCCAUCUACCCAUGUUCUACCCAACCUUUUCGUAGAUACAAAUACUUACACAGUUUAAAUCAUUUAACACAUGUAUAAAACAUCAAUCCUAUGCCCAUAUCAAAUAGACAAACAAUAUAUAUAUAAUCACAUAACACGUAUUUCAUAGCAAAUACUUCGCAUUUAUGUGUUAGAAGAAAGUGAAUAUGCAUUCUCUCAUAUAAACAACAAUAUGUACACAUAACACGUAUUUCAUAUCAAAUACUUUAUAAUUAUGUGAUAGAAGAAAGUGACUAUACACUCACUUGAUCAGAAGAUGAUUGGACAACACUACGGCUUGUAAAAGUAGUAUUCUUCGGUAGAUCUGGAAGAUCUUCACAAAAACCGGGCUCCUCGCGGGAAGAGCUUUGGCUCAGGAAUUGAACUUCUCGGGAUCUUCGGGGCCUUGGGACUUGCUUUGGGGCUCGGGAAUGAUACCAGGGCUUCGGAAUAAUUCGUGCACGAAAAACGAUGCAAAAACACGAGAGAAAUGGAAGAAAUGAGCAAAGAACUCGGCUGCCCUCGACAUCCUUUUAUAGGGGGCUGGAACUUCGAUUUAUGCUGGGCGUAAUGAGGAUAGGAUCGCUGACUCCCCCCUAGAUAAUAUCGGUUAUUUUAUAUUUAAAUUAAAUAUUGAAAAUAUUUAAUNCCCCCCUUCGGAUAAUAUCAGUAUUUUAUAAUUAAAUUAAAUAUCAAAAAUAUUUAAUAAACUUCAAAAAUUCAUAUCUUCCUCAUACGAACUCCGUUUUCGACGUUCUUUAUAUCUCCGCGUAGGUGAGACUACGCUCUACAACUUUCUUUUAGACUCCGUCGGCUAAUUUUGAAUUAUUUUUAUUAUUUAUUUUUAGUAGGCCGGGACAGGAAAACUCCGUUAUAAAUUCAUAACUUCUUCAUCCGACGUCCGUUUUCGCCUAUCUUUUCAUCGUUGCACUACAAUUAACGAGAUCUUCGAUUCUAGUUUAGAUUGUUUCGGCUAAAAAUCGCUCUAUCUCAAAUCGAGUAUUCGGGCUACAUACUGCUAAGUCGAAACUUAGAAAAAUCAUAACUUACUCAUACGAAGUCAGAUUUAGACGUUCUUGUUAUGCACGCUCACGGUUUAACGUAUUCUACGAAUUUCGUUUAGAUUGCUAAGGCUAAAUAUCGUUCUAACGUAAAUUCACUUUUUACAUCGCGCUGUGUUGUGCCGAUUUUGUCGCGAAACUUCGACAGGCCAUAAUUUCUUCGUUAUAACUCGGAUUUCGGCGUUCUUUAUAUGUAUGGAAUCCUUGUAACAUAUACUAUAAAUUAGUUAAGAUUAAUCAUUCUAAAUAAUCUUUCAUCAAAAAGUCAUUUUUAACGCUUAUCGUCUCUAAAUUGACUAGCCCUGAUCUACGGGCGUUACAGGUAUGAACUCACAGUUUAACGUAGGAUUCGAGUGUACGAUCGAUAUGAGUGUUGAGUGUCACCGGAUGUUCUGAAUGCAAUUGGACCCUAUUAAUCAUAUGGUAACACAUAUACGUAUUAGAUUAGGGUAUUUCAUGACUAAUUAUGACGGGAAACCACCCUAAGGUCUUGGAAAUGCUUGUACUAAGUGUUCUAGGUUCCACACGUAGUGAUCCUUGUAAGAUUAAGGCCAAAUAUGAGCAUUAGAGUGGGUGUAUGGCCAUCAAGGUGAGUGUGCGGCUACACACAGGGGUGCGCGGCCGUACAGGGGGUGUGUGCGGCCGUACACUCCUCAUUAGUGCCCGAAUUGUCGAUUUUGAGGUGUUUUUGAGGCGUUCUUGUGCUAAUACCAAGUCCUACUAGUAAAUGAAGACCAAACUCUUCACUUUGGAGAGUUUUAGGGUGUGUGCGGUCACCUUAUGAAGGUGUGCGGCUGCACUCCUUCCAAAGGAUGAAGAACACGAAGAACACUAUGAGUUUUAGGCUUAGAUUUAGGUCUCUUACCACUAUAACAAGCUGAAUGGUGAAGUAGUUCAUGUUUUUUAGACCUUAAGAGUGUUCUUGGAUGAAGUUUUUAGAGAGAGAAAGUAGAGAGAGAGUAGUGUGAAACCAAAGAAGAAAAAGUGAAUGAAAUGGGGUUCUCUACUAUAUAUAUAGGGUCAGGUGUGUGGCUGGGGGAGUGUGUGUGACUGGGUGAGCGGCUGGCUGGCCGCACACACCUACUUUGGUGUGAUUGGCUUGAUUUUGAGAUGCUACACACUUUCUAUCUAGGUUUUACUAAGCAUAAAGCACUCAUAUGGACCCAACAUUUGCUAAAAGAUGUUAAAUCCGAGUUUAAUAUUGAUUUACAGAUCAAUUUCACAGGAUAAAAGUUUCGGGUUGUCACAUCAUCCUCCCCGUUAGAGGGAAUUUUGUCCCGAAAUUCAAGAAUAAAGAUACAGAUCAUGGAUUUGGAAAGAGAUGAGGGUACUUUUGUUUCAUUCAAUCCUUGCGCUCCCAAGUGAAAUCAGGUCCCCGCUUGGCAUUCCAGCGAAGCUUCACUAUCGAAAUGCGACUUUGCUUUGUUCGUUUGACCUCCCGGUCCAUGAUUUCGAUUCUUUCUUCCACGAAGUUCAGGUUUUCGUUGAUUUCAAUUUCGUCAAGAGGGAAUACAAGGGUUUCAUCAGAUAAGCACUUCUUAAGAUUUGAAACAUGGAAGACAUGGUGAAUGUUACCGAGUUCAUGCGGUAAACUAAGUCUGUAGGCUACGGGACCAAUCCUAGCAAGGAUUUUGAAUGGUCCUAUGUACCUUGGAUUUAGUUUUCCCCGUUUUCCAAAGCGUAUCAUGCCCUUCCAUGGCGAGACCUUUAGCAGAACGCGGUCUCCGACCUGGAAUUCCAAGGGUUUUCGUCGUUUAUCGGCAUAGCUCUUUUGUCGAUCUCGAGAAGCCUUUAGUCGUUCCCAGAUUUGUAUGAUCUUUUCGGUCAUCUCGCGGAUGAUUUCUGGACCAGUGAGAGUGCUAUCCGGGACUUGCCCCUUGGCUAGCUGCGUGUCACCCACCUCAGCCCAACACAGAGGGGAUCUGCACUUGCGGUUAAAGAGGGCUUCGAAAGGCACAACCUUGAUACUGGUAUGAUAACUAUUGUUGUAAGAGAAUUCAACCAAGGGCAAAUGGGUGUCCCAUGAUUUACUGAAGUCGAUGACGCAUGCUCUCAACAUGUCUUCCAAGGUCUGGAUGGUUCUCUCACUCUGUCCAUCUGUCUGAGGGUGAUAAGUUGUACUCAUAUCCAACUUAGUUCCAAGAGCCUUCUGUAGGGACUGCCAAAAUCUCGAAGUGAACCUGUUGUCUCGAUUGGAGAUGAUAGAUAUAGGCUCUCCGUGCAGUCGAACUAUUUUCUGGAUGUAAAUUCGUGUGAUCCUUUCCAUUUUGAAAGUUUCUUUGAUUGGUAGGAAGUGAGCGGAUUUUUUCAAUCGAUCGACUAUUACCCAGAUGGUGUCGUACCCACUCGGAGAUUUGGGCAAUUUGGUAAUGAAAUCCAUGGUAAUCCUCUCCCACUUCCACUCAGGUAUCUCGGGCUGUUGAAGUAGACAUGAGGGCUUCUGAUAUUCAACCUUUACUUUGGCGCAAGUCAGACACUUGCCCACGAAGGUAGAAAUCUCGGCUUUCAUGUUUGGACACCAAUAUAGUUUCUUGAGAUCGCAAUACAUCUUAUCCGAUCCUAGGUGGACGGAGUAUCUAGUCUUGUGAGCUUCGUUCAUGACGACCCCUCUGUAACCAUCGAACUUUGGAGUCCAGAUUCGAUUCAUGAAAUAGUAGACUCCAUCUCCCUUGAUCUCUAAGUUCUUUUUCAUUCCUCUUAAGGCUUCAUCCGCCACGUUCUCUGGUUUCAGGGCUUCCAACUGAGCUUCUCUAAUUUGUGCGGGUAGAUGGGAAUGGAUGGUCAGAACAUACAUUAAGGAAAUCGACAAGAUGGAAAAACUGACCAGAACAUACAUUAAGGAAAUCGUGCGAUUGCAUGGCGUACCAAUAUCCAUUAUCUCCGACAAGGAUAGUUGAUUUACCUCAUGGUUCUGGCAGUCACUCCGAAAAUAUCUGGGAACAAGGUUGGACAUGAGUACAACCUACCACCCACAAACUAACGGGCAUAGUGAGAGGACUAUACCAACGCUAGAAGACAUGUUGAAAGCAUGUGUGAUAGAUUUUGGUAAAGCUUGGGAUACCCAUUUACCACUUAUCAAAUUCUCAUACAAUAAUAGAUAUCAUGCUAGCAUCAAGGUUGCUCCAUUCGAAGCCCUUUAUGGCCGCAAGUGCAGAUCACCGCUGUGCUGGUCUGAAGUAGGUGACACACAACUAGCUAAGGGACAAGUCCCUAGAAUCACUCUCACUGGCCCCAAAAUUAUAAGGGAAGCGACAGAGAAGAUUGUCCAAAUUCGAGAACGAUUAAAGGCUUCUAGAGACAGGCAAAAGAGUUAUGCGGAUAACAGACGGAAGCCCUUGAAAUUCCAGGUCAGAGAACGGGUGCUGCUGAAGAUCUCACCCUGAAAAGGUUUGAUACAUUUUGGAAAACGUGGGAAACUAAAUCAAGGUAUAUCAGGCCGUUCGAGAUCCUCGCCAGGAUUGAGCCGGUAGCAUACAAGCUUUGAUUACCACAAGAACUCAAAAAUGUACAUCCUACCUUCCAUGUGUCCAACUGAAAGAAGUGCUUGUCCGAUGAGACUCUCGUCAUCCCACUUGACGAGAUUGAAAACAACAAGAGUCUCCACUUCGUAGAAGAACCGGUAGAACUCAUGGACCGGGAGAUCAAAAGAACAAAACAAAGUCGCAUUCCCUUUGUGAAGGUCCGAUGAAACUCUAAACGAGGACCCAAGUUCACUUGGGAACGCGAAGAUCAGAUGAAACUAAAAUACUCACAUCUUUUCCCCAGCCGUUGAAGCCCCAGUCGAAACGCUAAUUUCAGGACGAAAUUCCUUUUAACGGGGGGAUGAUGUGACAAUUGUCAAUUUCGAGGCAAGUCAAUGAGUCAAACCGAUAAGCUCAUCUAGUGCUUGUAUGAUAGGUUUUACUCUAUGUUUACUAAUGUACAACUCUCUACCUUAAUACAAAGUAUCACUAGGAAGUUUCAUAUGUUAAGAAAAUUCUAAACCCUAACCAGGGUGAGCGAUGUAACGAAUCUAUAAAGUACUAUUAUGUACCCAUCGGGGGAUUAAGACACUCAUAACAAAGCAUAAUGGGGUUUGCGAACCUUGCAUUAUGGGGACAAACACUAACAAAGGCUACAAACAAAAUCUCUCCCACUCUAUCUCUAUCUCUCCCAAAUCUCUCUCAAAAUCACUCCCAAUCUCUCUCAAACCUCUUAGUGAUAAAAAUCAUGAUUUUCGAUGUUUUUAUGAACAUCCGUACCAUCCCGAGCCUUCCCUUGGUCGAAAACAGCUUAAAACGGAAGAAAGAAGUCAAAAAGAGGGCUGAAGGUUCGCAGGGUACGGUUCAAUAUGAAUUUAGUUUAGGUUUAUACCUUUCUAAUGACUACUUGCACAUGUUCAUACAAUCUACGACGAUUUUUACAAAACUGCCUUUCAUUUCACAAACGAUUUCGGACCAGUAUGUGAAUAUGGACAUUUUCACACUGUUUAGAGACCUCUAAAAAUCAUAAUUAAAAUUAUGAACAAACUAGACAUAUUUUCUAAACUCUCAGAGUUUACGGGUCUAUUUUUCGACUUACAAUAUUUUUUCUAUGAUUUUUAUAAAAACAGUGACAGAAAAGUCAAAACUAGUAAAAAUAGUUUAUAAAUUCCUUAACACUUUGUAACAUGUUGAACAAAGUGUAUAACCAUGUUUAGCUACAUCUUAAUCGUAUUUCAUGUUAGUUUAUCUUCAUGAAACAAAAUUAGAUAUUCAUCAUAAGGAUUAUUCAUUCAUUACAAACAUAUAUGAUAAGCUAUAAUAGGUAUAGUUAUUGUUAAUUUGUUACACUACAAAUACACUAUGAAAGGUUUCCAAUACACUACAAAAGGGGUUUUCAUUUACUACAAACAUAUGGGAUAAACUAUAAUAGGUAUAGUUUAUGGUACAUUAACACUACAAACAAACUAAGGAAGGUUUCAUUUACACUACAAAAAGGAUUUUCAAUCAUACUACAAGUAAACUCGUUGAAUCAAAUUUGUGAGACGUCACUUCAUUGUACUCUUUAGGGUAUUGUUUAAAUUCCUGUAUUAUAACCAUAGUCUCCUAUAGGGAGAGUGUGAUACUUGUAUAUAGAUCUAUAGUGGGACUGACAAUCCCGCACCUAAGCUGCACGCAACAGCUAGACCAGUAGGUCCGGGGUGACAAAUGUCAAAACAUUCUGACGCCCGAAGUAUGCCGUAACAGGCUUACUAUCUCAAUUGCACAAUUAUAAUAACUUAUAUAGGGAAACAACAACACAUAAAGUUUACGGUAAUUCUUACAUUCGAAAGGGUUUUAAUUAUUUAAAACUGCCUACACUAUUAUAAGUAUGGAAAAAUACUUGUACAUUUCGGUCUUUGGGUUUUAAGACUACAACUCAUUUAUAAGGAAAAUAUUGGAUUUUUCUUGAACAUACACUACAUUUACAAAGAAAGGUUUUUCAAUUCUACAUACAAAAGCUUAUGCACCCACUAACUUAAUUGUUGACAUUCUUUCAAAAUUACUUGUAUUCUCAGGUAAUCAAUGAAAACAGAUAAAUACCAACUUUUGAGGAUGGAACGCUAUGGCGUUAGACAUACCAUUUUAUCAUUAUAUUGUAAUUGAUUGUUGGGUCAAAAAUAUGGUUUAUACGAUUCUUUUCUAGGCAAUUGGGUUUCCGUUCAUAUGAUAUGUAUUUGAAGUUGUGUGUUCACGACCCAAGCGAGUGUUUACGGCUGUGAACUGGUUCACAGCCGUGAACCUGUUCACAACCCAUGUUCCAUAUAAAUUGAUGUAAGGGUGAGGAGUGCAAGAGAAAAACAGAACGGCUAGAAAGGAGCUUAAGUGUGUGUACUGUAAGGUGUUCUAGAGAGGGAAAGUGAGAGAAUGUGCAAGUGUGUGUGAAUCUUGAGUUGGAUCAUAACUCUUAUCAUCAAGACAUUGAAGAUUCAUCUUUUUCUUCUUCUCCUUAUUCUUCAUAUUGAUCUUGCAUCAUCCAAUUGAUUGGGAUUCCGCACCACCAAUUGGAUAUGAAUGAUACGUCAAGAAAAUUUGGGACUUAUAGUUGGUAUCAGAGCUUGGUCUGUAUCGAUCAUUUUGGCUAGAUAUGGAGCGUUUUUGAUGUUAUUUUUGACGGAUUUUUGUGUUUUUGGAUAGUUCUUGUCAAAAUAGUGGGGGUUUGUUCUUUGCGUUUUUCAUAAAAACGAGUUUCUGGUCGAGUUUUGGAGCAAAAAGAGGUGAAAAACGCUGUUUUUUCGCGAUCCGAAGAAGCUUUCACGGCCACCGAAGCAGUGUUCACGGCCGAGAAGAAGGUAUCACGGUCCUCGGAGCUUUCACGGUCCUUGGUGGGUUCACGGUUCGAGGUUCGUAUACGACCGAGAAGCGUUCACGGCUCAACAUUCUCGCACGUUCACGGUCUUCGCCUCGUUCACGGAUCAGCAGCCUCGUUCUCGGCCUCGCACCUCGCAAGUGUUCGACCCAGCUUAUAUUUGGAUCCCACCUUCGCAUACGUGGACCUACAACAAAUAAAUUAAAAAUUUUGUGGCUUGCUAAUUUUCGAACUCACGCCACUUCAUCAGCCCACCGUCUUACCAUCUCAUCUAGCAAGAAACUUGUUACAAGCUUUCGAAAUUUAACUCAAAUAUUAUACUUUCGCACCUAAUUUCGCAUUUUUAACAUAUUUUGCCCAAAAUUCAAUUUUUCAAAUUUUCAAUAUCCAUUUUCAACCAAAGAAAAAUUAGUUUUUAAUUUUUUACUUUGAUUUUUGACUUUUGACUUUAACCUUCAAGUUUGACCUUUAACUUUAAACUUUGACUUUCUUGUUUAACUUUAAAUUUUUUCAAAUUUAGUUUUUCGGUUUAACUUUUUAAGUUUGACUUUUUAAAUUUGACUUUUAAGGUUAACUUUUGAUUUUUUAAGUCAAAGAGCAAUUUUUUGAUAAACAAUGAGUUCUUCAAGCAUCCCGGUAAAUGAAGUUUCAUGUACUCCAUCUUGUGAAGCUACAAUUAAAUUUCUUCGUGAGCAAAUUGAAUUAAUGAAGAGGGAGAACGAGGAACUUAAGUAUUAGAGGUACACCCUUAGGAAAGGCCAGAAACCAUUGAAAGAACAGUUAGAGGCCAAGACGAAGGACUUUAGGAAAUUGCAGGAUGAGUACAGUAACAAGUGUGUCAAUUAUAGAUAUCUUCAGAAAGAACUUGCUGUUGUAACUGAAGAACUUGGCACAUUAAAGAUCCGUUUUCAAAAUGCUGAUUUCUAUUUUUAGAAAUUCGACGUGUCAAGUGAAAAGGUUGAAACCAUGAUUGAAAAACAAUUAAAGUUUAAGGAUAAUCAAACCAAAGGUCUAGGGUAUAAUAGUGUUCCACCUCCUUUUAAUGACAACUAUAACCCACCCCUUGAGACCAAUGAGGAAGAAAUGUUUGCUUAGUAUGGCCAAACCCCUGUCCUAGCUUAAGUUAAGACUGAAUCAUCUGAGCCUACUGAGAUUAUUCCGGUGAAUGCUUCUGAUGCUUCUACUUCAUGUGUAGGUAAAGUAGCAGAAGAUGAGGACAAAGAGAACACUAUUGAACAAAACAAUGACUCAUGGAACUCUGAAUCUAUUACUUCUAAUUCUGUUACUCCUAACAAACCUGCUAUUGAGAAAUACAGACCACCAAAACAAGCGAAACCGACGGCUUGUUGUAUGUAUGCAUGUGGGAACAACCAGAAGCGAGGUAAGGUUACACCACCAGGGGCAGAAAGAAACAAUUCUUACAUGAAGAAAAAGACAUGCUUUCACUGUGGAACACUUGGACACAUUGCCAGAAAUUGUCCAAAUCGCGCAUACGUUCCCUACUACGCACAAGGAUGGCAAAACGCACCAAGAGGGAGAUUUUCAAAAAGAAGCCCUUCAAGGCCACAAUCGCACAAUGGUGAUUGUUACGCGCAAAAGGCCAAGAAUCAAAAUCCCAAAUUCAAGAAGGGAAUGUCAACCAAGAAGUCCAAUCCAAGAGAUGCUUCAGUGACACCAAGAGUGGUUAGAUCAAAUUCAUCUCGAAGAUGGGCUUUAAGUUCAAAAUCAAGUGUCGAGGCACCCAUCUGAACGAACAAGAAAUGGGUUAAACCCAACUAUAGAUGGGUACCAAAGGUUCAAUCUCCCAAAUCUUCUAAUGAUUCUAAUAUUUCUACAUCUUUUGUUUGUGAUAAGCAGGACAUGUCAUGGGUGAGAGUACCUUGCAAGGAUGAAAAAAGUCGAACCAGUUUCAAAAUGGAUUGGGUUCCAAAGACAAACUAAUCCCGCUCUGUGUCGGAACAGCUAUGGAGGCAUAUUAUCAGACUUCGGUUUGUAAAUAGUGGUUGUUCCAGGCACAUGAUAGGAGACAUCUCUCAACUGUACAAGACUCAAAAAUUUGUUUAAGAGUAUGUGUCCUUACGGGAAAGGAAAAAAUGAGAGGAUCACACAUGGGGUUUUGUGCUUAACGAUGUGAAGAAUUUUCGGAUCUGUUAUGAGAUUAUGCGUGUUGUUCUUAGACCUUCUGGAUGCAAAUUCAAUCGGUGACUUACAGUUUGAGUUUUCUUCUCGAUACUCCUGAUUUUUUCUCUUACAUUGAUUCAUUUAAAAGACAAUUUUUUUAAUUUCCUUAUGUGUAUUUAUUUAGUAGGUAUUAAUUGGGAAGUGAUAUGAAGUCUAGUGCCAAAGGGCAAUUUAUGAUGCGUGUAAUGCACUAAACCAAAUUAUCUAGACUCUAUGCUCAAUGUGCUGGUAGGCACAAAGGAUUCAAAAGGACUAGACUUAGAUUGAGAAUAAAAGGACUUGACAGUAUGGACUUAGAUAGUUCUAUUUGGAUUGACCAUAUGACGCUUGGAUAGAUUGAACAGUGAGAUAAACAUGAGAACCUGCAGGAUACACUAAAAAUUAAUUAUCUAGAACUAUGGCUUAACAUUUCCUUGAUGUAUGGACUCAUGUCCUUAAUUCUGGUACUGAUAGGGCGACUGGGGGGUUCUGAUAAAGUAGGUCUGUAGGAAAUUAUUUUCUUACUUUCUAUCUGUCAGUCAUAUGCUGCAUCCUCGACGUGAUUGGAACUUAUCUGACCUGGAAUGCAACAUAUGCAACUCUAUCUCUAUGCAUACCCUUAUAUAUGCAAUUCUUUCUAUCUGUUAGCCAUAUGUUGUCCCCUCUACGUGAUCGGAAGAUCCGACCAGGGACACAACAUAUGCACCCUACUAUCUCUCUAACCCUUUAUCUAUGUUAGUCAUAUGUUGUUCCCUCUGCGUGAUUGGAAGACAUCCGACAUGGGAUACAACAUAUGCACUUCUAUAUCUGACUUCUUUCUUAAUGAUUGAGUACUCACCUAAAGUAAGUAGUGCUUUGGAAGUUCUUGAUUAUUGGGGUAUGUCGGGAAGUGAGGAACACGUUCUAGUGCAUCUAAAAUUGAACCAUUUACUAGGUCGUCUGUAGAUCUCGCCGCUUAAUUUAAGUCGACAAUAAUAUCCUUGGUCGUCAUCAGCUAAAUGGUCUAUUUAGGAAUAUAGGUGCAAUGUCCUGUCACUUAUAAUCUGUCCAAUUUGUCAAAUAUCCUUUAUGUUUAAGUGGACCACAAUACCGGUGGUUGACCAGAUCUAGACAUGCAGGCGUGUGCUGAUAAACGACAUUGAAUUGUCUGACAACUUUGAUCCCAAAUAUUUUUGUUUUUGUUAAAUUUUUUCAUAGUUUUCCUCUAUGCACAAAUUUAGGGGGAGAAUUAAAAAUUUUAAUAAUCAAACAAAAAAUAAAAAAAAUCCAAAAAUACUUUUGUUUCUGUUUUUUUUUUUAUAAAAAUAUGAAAAAAAAUGUAUUGUGAGCUAAGUUUUCUUUUAGUUUUGUUUUUAUCUCAAAUUUUCUUUGUCUUGAAAAGUGAAUUCAGAUGUAGAUGAGACUCAUGGAGAUUGUAUCGAGAUUUUCUGAGCCAAGGCUUCCUACGUGAUCAUCGAAGAAUUCUCAUUCGAAGGAACAAGAAAUGAAGAUUAUUCUUUCAACAUUCAAUCUUUCAACCCCAGAAGCCAGGUGAAUCUAACUUGAAGAUUAUGUGACAGAUUGCAUUGAAGCCUCCUCAAUCAAUUUGUUGCUAUCUAUGAACUUGCUGAAGUGAUCCAGAAGAUUAGCUCUCUCUGUUGUUCUCUCUGAAGUUUCUCAAGUUGAAAGUGCCAUUUUCCAAGAAUCUAUACAUGAAGCCUCCUCACCCAACGUUCGUUCAAAGUCAAAUCUUGAAGAAAAUCCCAUCUGUUCAAGAUGAAUUCAUUCAGCUAGAAGAUUCAAGUUCAUUUUGAAGCUGUGAAGAAAUCGAAUAUAAACGUUGAAGCCAAGCUUCCAAUGAAGAUUGACAAGAAAAGUCAGCUACUUUUUAGGGGGAGUUUGUUGGGUCAAUUAGAAAAUAAAUCUAUAAACCAAGGGGGAGAUUGUUGGGUCAAAAUAUGGUUUAUACUUUGCUUUUCUUGGCAAUUGGGUUUUCGUUCAUGUAAUAUGUGUUUGCAGUUGUAUGUUCACGGCCCAAGUGGGUGUUUACGGCCGUGAACCUGUUCACGACCCAUGUUCCAUAUAAAUAGAUGUAAGGGUGAGGAGUGCAGGAUAAAAAUGGAACGACUAGAAAGGAGCUUAAGUGUAUGUACUCUAAGGUGUUCUAAAGAGAGAAAGUGAGAGAAGGUGCAAGUGUGUGUGAAUCUUGUGUUGGAUCAUAACUCUUAUCAUUAAUACAUUGAAGAUUCAUCUUAUUCUUCUUCUCUUUCUUCUUCAUAUUGAUCUUGUAUCAUCCAAUUGAUUGAGAUUCCGCACCAUCAAUUGGAUCUGAUUGAUACAUCAAGCAAAUUUGGGACUUAUAUCGAUUUUGAAACAUGUAACUUUUUCGAUUAUAUUUAUAAUGGUUGAAUUUACUUUGUCCACUAUUAUACUCAUUGUUAUGAUACUAUACAUGAAGUCCUCCACCCCCGGACGUUUUCGCCAUCAUUUGUUUGGGGUUGUGACAAUUAUGCCCCUUGAAUGGAAUUAGUGGUUCCAUUGUUUAUUAUUAGUAAUCAUAGCCUUUUCAUGGAGUACUCUUUGUAUAACCAAAAUCUCUCCUUCAUGAGUUUGAAUCUAUCUUUAAGAUAUAAGAUUGGUGUGUAACACCCUAUUUCGAGUCGAUUCAGAAUUUGGGGUCGUGACCCGAAGAUCAAGUAUUAUAAGGCUUAGGGCUUUAGUCUUUGUGCUUUUGGGAAAUAGAGGUUUAGACCCAUUUGUAUGUGGGUAAUGUAGAUUACGGGAUCCAAGAGUUUGGUUGGUGCUUUAGAGUCAAAGGGUAAAAUGGGAAAAGUGGUGUUUUAGAUUUCUUUUAUGAAUUAAGUAUUUUAGUUCGAUGUGUUUUAAGUCAAAAGUAAUUAGAUAAGGUUGUAGAGAUCCUCAACACAUUUUCGUGGAUAUACAGAUCAUCGAAAUCAGAGUUCUAAUGAAGCAGUUAUGACCGUUUGAAGUUAGGGAGAUUUUGGGUUAAUCUGCGUAUGUUGGGCGUACUCAACAUGUACACUGGGCGUACUAGGCAUGCAUGGAGUACACUGGGCAUACCUGGAGUACGUUGGGAAUACGCGAUCAGUGCCCAAGCCCUAUUUUUGUUGUUUAAUCCCUAUUUAAACUCAUUAACUUCCCCAAACCUAUUCCAUUCUCAACCUCCACCUCUCCAGCACCCGCCCUUGAAACCCUAACCCUAGCUUAAGCCUUGUGAGCAAAAAGAAUGUGUUUUCAAGUGCUUUGGAGUGCUCUUGGUGCAUCUUGGAGAAUAAUGAGCUCAUUGGAGAAGUGAUGGUUGCAAUGGAGCUUGUAGAUCCAGACCUUAUUCACCUUGAUCUUUCUUCUGGAGGUAUAGAGUUUGAAUCUUGAUGAUGAAGUUGUUAGAUCUAGCUAGUACUGGGUGUUAUGAGCUUUUUGUAACAUUAAGUGCAUAAAGUUUAGAUCUUGAAAGUCUGUGACCUUAUUAUGGAUAAAGUUGGAAACUUUAACCAUCUAAACAUCAUAUUGAUUCAUAUAUGAAGGUUAGAGACUUGGACUUGAUGGAUUAAGUUGAAAAAGAUGCACUUUUGGUCCCUUUGAGACUUAAAGACUAGAUCUUGUUUGUUAGGACCAUUCUAAUGGAUAAAGUUGGAAACUUUAUCCAUUAUAGAGUCAUCAAGAACCAUAAAAAUGUAACCUUGGUCCCUAGUUUUCCUCCAUGCAUGGUCUUGGAUGUCUUAAUGGGUUAAGAAGUUAUGGUUUUUGGAUGUUGAAGACUUAAUAGCCAUGUAAGACCAUAAAGUUGGAAACUUUAUGGUUAAGGAUAUGAUUUGAGGGUUAGAUCUGGACUUUGGAUGAAAGAGCUUAAAGGAUUAAGCUCUUAAUGGAUUGGGAGGAUAGCAGUCGCGUAUGUUGGGCGUACCAAAGGGUACGUUGUGCGUACGUGGUCAGCCCCUCGACUUCUGGUCAAGGCGUAGUAUGCCACGCGUAUGUGUUGAGUACGCCAAACGUAUUCAAUUGAGUUGACUCGGUCGACUCGGUUGAAUUUUGAUUUUGACCAAGUUUAACCUAAGGGCAUUUUGGGUAUUUUGAUUUAUAGUUUGAUAUUUGGGUUCCUGUUAAUUGUAUAGGUGACUGGUAGAUUUUAGAGCAGUUAUCGGUGCAACUAUUCUUUCAGACUGUGAGGUGAGUCUCUUUACUGUACUUGUGGGUAAAAGGCACCAAUGUCGGCCCACUGGAUUAUGUUUGUAGGAUAAUGGUUGUCUUUGUGACACUUGUUGGUAUGCAUUUAUGUGCUUGUUGUCUUCGUGACUUAUGCUUAUAUGUUUUUAUACUUACGUAUGUGGGGUGAAACGGACCCGGGGGUUGAAAACUACCCCGACAUAGCUACAAGUUGUUAUAUAGAGUCAUUAUGGACCCUAGGUUGAUACAAACCCUAGGGUUGAUACGGACCCGACACAGCUAUAAGUUGUUAUAUAGAGUCGUUAUGGACUCGGGGUUGAUACAGACCCGACACAUAUUUGUAUAUAUGUGGUAUGCGGUAUUUUGGGGAACUCACUAAGUUAUGUGCUUAGGAUUCCAUAUUUAUGAUUUCAGGUACUUUCAGUUCAAAAGUGUAGGGUCCGAUGUGACUACACAACAUCCCCCAGAGUUUUCUGCAUUGGCAAUUAAUGAUUUUACUCUAAUGUUUAAAUAAUAUAUUGACUUUGAUCCGUUUUGGAACAACUCGUUUGUAUGAUCUGUUGUUUUAAAAAUGAAAAUUUUACCUUAGAUUUUCGGGACGUUACAUGGUGUCUCCUCUCCUUCUCGGCCAUUAUGACAAUGUACCCUCAACCUAUUUUAAGUCAUACUCUUUGGUUUGAACAUUCAACUUGAAGAUGUACCUAAGACUUAACAUUUAAAAUAUUUCUCCGUUGGUGCAUUAAAAGCAUAACCUUUACAUUUGUAUUGCUUUGUUGAGCUAUCACGUUUUAAAGGUUUUUUUUUCUUUAUGGAAUGGAUUCUUGAAAGAACUAUCCUUUAUUAGUAAUUGGGAGUUGGCCUUUCUACUUUAUUAUUUUUAGACAAAAUUGCAAGUUUGGUUCCUGUGGUAUGUCAAAAAUUGGAUGUUUAGUACACAAUUUUUUGGAGUUGCACCACUGGUCUAAAAAGUGAAUUCUAUUGUAGGUUUGGUCCAAAGAUUUUUGGACAAACUUAAAAUGACUGAUUUACCCUUCAUAUUUAGUUUUCUUAUUUUUCUUUUAUCGUAUACAUUUAAAAAAAUG